UCACUACUUGCGUAGGCAGUCUCUUUAGAGUGCUCGGCAUUAUCCGGUGGCAACUAAAGACAAGGGUUGCGCUCGUUGCGGGACUUAACCCAACACCUCACGGCACGAGCUGACGACAGCCAUGCAGCAUCUGUACAAGAUUUCCUUGCGGUUCUUCCCGCUUUCACGGGAAUAGAUCUUGCUUUUCAAGCCCAGGUAAGGUUCUUCGCGUUGCAUCGAAUUGAACCACAUGCUCCACUGCUUGUGCGGGCCCCCGUCAAUUCCUUUGAGUUUCAACCUUGCGAUCGUACUCCCCAGGUGGGAUACUUAACGAGUUAUCUCCGACACUGAAGUUUUACCCCCAACGUCUAGUAUCCAUCGUUUACAGCGUGGACUAC
rnacentral:misc_RNA from 1 species